CCAGAGGUUAAAUAACUGCCCAAAUUCCCAGCUAGCAAAUGGGGUAGCCGCUUCUACCUCGUGUGUUUGCCUUCCAAGCCCGUGUGAUACAGCUCUGUCAGAACUCUCCAAAAGAGAAAGGGCAUAAAUCACAGAAGAAGGUCUACCCUUCUUCUGUGGGAGCGGAGGGAGAGGGGGAGUGCCCUACACAGCCGCAGCAGCCAGGCAUGAGGAUGGGGGCUGGGGCAGCAGAGGACAGAUGGGAGCUCCUGUUAGGAGCCACGUUUCCUCGGCUCCGAACCCUUGCUCCUGAGUCUCUGCAACAGCGAUGCCCGGGAUCAGAGCUGGAGUUUACCUCCUGCUCAGAAAGCUCCUGCUGUGUCAGGGGAGCUUCGGACGCGUCAUCAGGUUUCACCCCAGGACUCUAUGUGACCUGCAUCCCAGCCUUGACUCAGCAGCCUGCACUGUGACUAACUUCCUGUGACUGGGCUUUCCGAUGUUGAUGUUGAUGAUGUCCCUGCCAGGAUAACCGGUCCACACUGGCCAGCUGCGAGAAUCAUUUAAAGUGGGUUUCAGUGUAAAUUGUGCUUAGACCAAUAACACGUUCAAAAUUAUAGAGCUUUUCAUCACUACGGAGAUGCUCUUGCCUGUGAUAGGAAGGAUAGCUACAUCUGAAGCUGAGCAAAUUUAUUUUUCUCUUCGUCUGCAUCAGGGUGACCUCUGGAAGAGGUUGGAAAGUCCAAGGUCAAGGACAUGGACUGAAGAUUUGGCUUCUGGUGUAGGCUCACACUCUUCUUCCAAGAUGAUGCCUUCUUGCUGCAUCCUCACAUAGUAGGAAAGUGGAAGAGGGAGGCAGCUCUCUGAAGCCUUUUUUAUAAGGGCAUUCAUCCUUCACAAAGCUGAAAUCUUCAUGACUUAGUCACCUCCCAGAGGCCCUACCUUCUAAUACUAUCACCGUAUUGAUUAAGUUUCAAUGUAUACAUUUUGGAGGGACAUAUAUAUUCAAAUCAUAGGAGGUGAGAUUCCCUUUAUGCCAGAACACUGGCCUCCAGCUGACAACUAUCUCCACCACCUCCUAUACCUCCUGUCCUAAUGAUCAUCAUGUUUUGCGUAGGGAGCUGCAGUCAUUCCCCUGUAUUCACUUUGCACCCCAACCCCAUCUGUUCUUCAUAAUACAAACAGAAACAAUCAUGUCAUCCUCCCCUUUCCUCUCAUUCUCUGCUUAAAUCCUUCCCCAGGUGUGAAGUAUUCUCAGGUUAAAGACCAAGAUCCUUAAUAUGCUUCUCAAGACCCUGUGUAAUUUGGCCCUACUUACCUUUUCACCUCAUCUUGUAGCAAUCUCUGCCUGUUCCUCUGCAUUUCACCCAGCCUCAUCCAGUUCCUCACACUUGCCAUGCUGCUUCUCACCACAGGGCCUUUGCACAUGCUGUUGUUGCCACCUGGAGAAUAUUCUCUCCCAUUCUUCACUUUGUUUAGUUCUUCUAUUCCUUUAGGGCGCAGUUCAAGCACAUGAGCUCAGGAGAGCCUUCACAGAGACACAUCCACGUCAGAUUCCUUUAUGACAUAUUCUCCUAAGUCCGUGAAACUGGGGACUUUGUUUUUGCUUUGUAUUUCAUCCUCAGUGCUCAUCAAAGUGGUUGGCACAUGGCAGCCACUAGUCAACUGCUUGGAAAUUUUUUUAAAGAAUUUGUUUCAAGGACUAUCCUUGUAUACUGGACAUGCUAAGUAAUAAGCACUAGAUUUGGAACAUAAGAGGAAAAUGUGAACUUUGCUAUUCUUGUGACUUUCUGGAAGAUGUAACUUAUUUGCAUUGGUUUCUAUGUCUAUAACCUAAGAAUUAAAGGACCUGCUGCCAUUAG